CUUCUGCAGAAUUCCCCAGAGCACAGCUCCUCAGCAUGGACUGGAUGUGGAGAAUCCUCUGCUUGAUUGCAGUUCUGAAAAGUGCCCAUGGCCAGGUGCAGCUGGUGCAGUCUGGAGCUGAGCUGAGGAGGCCCGGGGCCUCAGUGAAGGUCUCCUGCAAGGCUUCUGGCUCCAGCAUUAACUGGAUAAGCUGGGUGCGACAGGGCCCUGGACAGGGGCUGCAGUGGAUGGGAAGUAUCGACGUAAGAGAUGGAGAAACUAAAUAUGAUCAGAAGUUCCAGGGCAAGGCCACCUUCACUGCAGUCAAGUCCUCCAGCACAGCCUACAUGGAGCUGAGCAGUCUGACGUCUGAGGACACGGCCGUGUAUUACUGUGCGAGACACAGUGUGGUGAACCACAUCCUCACUGUGUCAGAAACCAAGAGUGAUGAACAGCUGCCUUGA